CUUGUGUCAGAAGUUGAGAUAUGUUCAUAUUGUUUUGAUUGUUUUGGUUCGUCGCCAUCUUGGAACCUGUUUUAUAAGGUGGAGUCAGACCUGAUUUCGUAUUAUUACUAUUUUUUCGCUUCUUUCCUUCCAUCAAAAAUCAUACCAUUCGUUCAAUUGUUCAUUUAAGUUCACCAUCAUUAUCAAUUUGGUUAAAUUAAAUACUUUUAGACACCUUUACUUGCAUUUUUUUUCGGGAGCUAUCCCACAGUCAACUUGUUCAUUCCG
rnacentral:lncRNA from 1 species